UUCAGUUUGCAUGAAUAUUCACGAUUUCCCUCUAUUCGCAUUGUGCCAUAGUGAUCACAGUACAAUUUUCCCAAUAUAAGAUUGUAUAUUGAUGUCGUAACCUUGCUCCAUUGAAAAACUUCUCCAUCAUCAAAUUCCAAUGUCAAAACACCAACAGGAUCAAGCUGAAUUGAACGACCCCAAAAUUUGCUCUUUAGAUUACUAUCUCCGCAAAAUUUCCAUCCUUUACCCUCACAAUGACAUGCAACAAUCAUGGGGUGAUGACUGACCUUCUCAGAGAAAAAUCGAAUGCCUUUAUCUGGAUAGUCAGAUAGUCAGCCUCAUAUGUUUCCCCUAAUAAUGGAUUGAAUGGUUUGCAAAUUCUUCCUUCAGUUGAAGCAUAUCCGGAUACAGCAAAAGCAGCGACAUUAAGAAUCCUCAUAAGGCUAUUACCCCUUCUUCCCCAUUCAUAUGCCCGGUCAAGGAGGUACGAGUAUUCCAAAUCCUCAAAACAUUUUUGUAGAGAAGAGAGGGGUUCAUUAAAGUAAACUGGAAGACAAACUUUAGUGAGGUCCUUCCCAAUAUUAUCCUUGAUCAUUGACCAAAGGCUAACACCUUUUUCUUUUUCAACUGGGUCAGGUAACUUCUUACGCCGCUUAACACAAGGAUAAUUUUUCCCAACAGGUCUAAUGGAAGGAUCGAUAUCAUCUUCUGAUUCAAAUGCAUAAAUCCCUUCAUCAUCAGAAGAGAAAGAUGAUGUCCUAAAAUCAGAUCCACUGCUUUUGAAGGAACAUGAUGAUAGAAAGUCACGAGUAUCAAAGAAGGUAUUCUCAUCAUCAUCAGUUUCUUCCUCUGCAGCAUCAAUUCUUUCAUUCUCAUCAUCAGAUUCAGUUGCAC
rnacentral:misc_RNA from 1 species